rnacentral:lncRNA from 10 species
AGAACCUAGUGGAGCCACCCUAGAGAAUAAGGAGAGGAGCAACUGGAACUGAGUGUUGGCUCCAAACUUCCACGGCAUGAUAUGCUUGGCCACCCAAUUGUGAUCAGGGCCAUUGUUGUUCCCCUGGGGGCAGGGGGCAGAGGGCAGGCCGCCGCUCGGAGUAAAAAGGGAAGACAGACAGGCAGUCCAAACACCACCAAAUGACAGAGAUGCAGACCAAGACAAAAGGAAAAAACAACAGAAGGGAUUUUUGUCCUUGAGACGUGCUAUGCAAAUUCUUUUCAAUUAGUUUCCUAUUAAUGAUUCCAUCUUGAACAUUUAGAGCUGCUCAACCCAGGCAGCAUCUACGUUUUGAAGUAGUAAGUUCUCCAUUCCUAGCAGAGUCGGAGGAGAAGCUCAGCUGUUAUCCACCAGAAAUUCUAUUAAAAGGAUGAAAGGUUGAACUAGAUGACUUCUCAUUCUGAAGACUGUAAUUCAGCAGAACUGACUAAUCCCUGGCAAAUGAUACCCUUUCUGAGUAUGCAUGUGUCACUGAAAGUCACUCAGACAAACCAGACUAUUUGUAAAUAGGUCUGAUUAUCUGCAAAUUAGUUGAUUGAAGGUUCCCGGGUAUCAAGCAGGGCUUAUUUUAAGAAAUUAAGUUAAUUUAGAUAAUAGCUGUGUUGAAAAGCAACAAGUUCAAAAACAAUUAAAAAGAAUGCAGCUUCCCUUUUAUUUUUUUCAACUCUAUAUUUUCUUUUCAAAUUGCUUCUAAUAGACCAUCUGUUAAGAAAGCCUCUUUUGACCGGGUGCAAUGGCUCACACCUGUAAUCCCAGCACUUUGGGAGGCCGAGGCAGGUGGAUCACCUGAGGUCAUGAGUUCAAGAUAGCCUGAGCAACAUGGUGAAACCCCGUUUCUACUAAAAACACAGAAAUUAGCUGGGCGUCGUGGCACGCGCCUAUAAACCCAGCUACUCUGGAGGCUGAGGCACAAGAAUUGCUUGAACCCGGGAGGCAGAGGUUGCAGUGAGCUGAGAUAGCACCAUUACACUCCAGCCUGAGAGACAGAGCAAGACUCCAUCUCAAA